AGACCCGAAACCCGGUGAUCUAGCCAUGGGCAGGUUGAAGGUUGGGUAACACUAACUGGAGGACCGAACCGACUAAUGUUGAAAAAUUAGCGGAUGACCUGUGGCUGGGGGUGAAAGGCCAAUCAAACCGGGAGAUAGCUGGUUCUCCCCGAAAGCUAUUUAGGUAGCGCCUCGUGAAUUCAUCUCCGGGGGUAGAGCACUGUUUCGGCUAGGGGGCCAUCCCGGCUUACCAACCCGAUGCAAACUGCGAAUACCGGAGAAUGUUAUCACGGGAGACACACGGCGGGUGCUAACGUCCGUCGUGAAGAGGGAAACAACCCAGACCGCCAGCUAAGGUCCCAAAGUCAUGGUUAAGUGGGAAACGAUGUGGGAAGGCCCAGACAGCCAGGAUGUUGGCUUAGAAGCAGCCAUCAUUUAAAGAAAGCGUAAUAGCUCACUGGUCGAGUCGGCCUGCGCGGAAGAUGUAACGGGGCUAAACCAUGCACCGAAGCUGCGGCAGCGACACUCAGGUGUUGUUGGGUAGGGGAGCGUUCUGUAAGCCUGUGAAGGUGGCCUGUGAGGGUUGCUGGAGGUAUCAGAAGUGCGAAUGCUGACAUAAGUAACGAUAAAGCGGGUGAAAAGCCCGCUCGCCGGAAGACCAAGGGUUCCUGUCCAACGUUAAUCGGGGCAGGGUGAGUCGACCCCUAAGGCGAGGCCGAAAGGCGUAGUCGAUGGGAAACGGGUUAAUAUUCCCGUACUUGGUGUUACUGCGAAGGGGGGACGGAGAAGGCUAUGUUGGCCGGGCGACGGUUGUCCCGGUUUAAGCGUGUAGGUGUGUGUUCCAGGUAAAUCCGGUUCACUU
rnacentral:rRNA from 1 species